rnacentral:rRNA from 1 species
GCCUAACACAUGCAAGUCGAGCGCUCUCUUCGGAGGGAGCGGCGGACGGGUGAGUAACACGUGGGAACGUGCCCUUAGGUACGGAACAACAGCUGGAAACGGCUGCUAAUACCGUAUGAAGUCUCCGGACCAAAGAUUUAUCGCCUAAGGAUCGGCCCGCGUUGAUUAGAUAGUUGGUGGGGUAAUGGCCUACCAAGUCUACGAUCCAUAGCUGGUUUGAGAGGAUGAUC